rnacentral:tRNA from 1 species
GCCUGGGUGGCUCAGUCGGUUGAGCGUCCGACUUCGGCUCGGGUCAUGAUCUCACGGCUCGUGGGUUCGAGCCCCGCGUCGGGCU